GCCUCUGGUUGGACGAGACGCGCUGCAGGGGCGGGGCGUGUCCGCGGUGGGCGUGUGCUGCGGAGCCGCGGGGGCGAAGCGCCUGGAGUAUGAGCCGGUCGCCGCUGUGAGAUGCUCUGGUGAGAGGGAAAUAGUGCCCCCGGAGCUGUGAAGCCUUAUCUGCUUCUGAAGAUCCUGUAGAUGCACCCUUGAAUCUGGAGAUUGAUUGCUUCAUAAAUCCCAAGAAUGAAGACCUGUUGGACAGUCCAGAGCUUCCAGGAUGGCAUGUUAGUGCCCCAGGAUAUGGUCAUGAUGAUGCUGAAGAGUUACCUCUUCCUGAAAUUCCUUCUCAUCCUCGGAUGCCUGAAGUUUAUUUUUUUCCCAGAGGAGAGCGAGGACAGUUACUCCCAGAAUGGCCUCUCUCAGCCGCCUUCUGGAGAAGCUGCCAACUCUGGCUUGGAAGAGAAGAGACGCUCGUUGGGGCUGAAACAGGAAAACCCUGGGAACGAGGAUGUGGAGCUCAGCAACAUGUAGUGUCAUGACGAGAGCAAGCACAGGAUUCGCCUGUGCUGAAAUGUUGUUUUGCAAAUCAAUUAGAAUCCUGUCUUCUUCGUGACUGCAAAUAAUAAUAAUAAUAAUAAUAAUGUAUGUACCUAUGAUGAAAAGAAAUCAUUCACAAUAAAUAUCCUGAGCUUCACAAA